AAUACCACAAAAGGAAGGUUGGGAUUGAUUUUGGGGGUUAUGUACUAACAGUUAAGGAAUUAGGGGCCAAAAAGGGGCCAAAAAUAAGCAUUUUUGUAACUUCCAGACAUAACUUGUGUGUAAGUGUAUGGAUCUCUCUGACAUUGUACCACAAGGUUCCAUAUCACAAAGAGAAUGCUUGGAUUGAUUUUGGGGGUAAUUGCCUCAAAAUUUUAGGAAUUGGGGGCAAAAAAAGGGGCAAAAAACAAGCAUGUUUCUAGUUUCAUGAUAAUAACUUGUGUUUAAGUCUAUGGAUCUUUAUGAAAUUGUACUAUAAGGUUCCAUAUCACAAAGGGAAAGCUGGAAUUGAGUUUGGGGGUAAUUGCCCAAAACGUUUGGGAAUAAGGGGCCAAAAAGGGGCCAAGAAUAAGCAUUUUUCUAGUUUCAUGACAAUAACUUGUGUGUAAGUCUAUGGAUCUUUCUGAAAUUGUUCUACAAGGUUCCAUAUCACAAAGGGAAAGCUGGGUUUGAGUUUGGGGGUGAUGAAUCAUAAGGGGGUUCAAAAAGUUGGUGGGGGGGGUUUCCUUUUUUUUUCUUUAAAAUUUUCCAUUUUAAAUUGGUUAUUUCUGAUUUAUAUAUAAAAGCAAAUAAUAAUGAUAUGGUUUGAAUAGGUAAAUUAAAAUUUUUUAAGUUCUUAGACCACAUUCAUUCUGUGUCAAAUAUUUAAUCACAAUCCAAAUUCAGUGCUGUAUCAAGCUUGAAUGUUGUGUCCAUACUUGCCCCAACUGUUCAGGGUUCGACCUCUGCAGUCGUAUCAAGCUGUGACCAGCAGAGCAUUUUAUUCCAUGAUAUUAUGUAAGAAAAUUAAUCAAAAUAUGUUUAAACAAUUCAGUUAAAACUAUUUUCUUAAUGCUUGUAGUUUAAAGGUUUGGUUGGCUUACUUGCUUUGUUUGUAUAAAUGUUUGCUCAAGCAUUGUAAUUAAGAUUGACAUCUGCAAUCAAUAGAUAGGUGGGGCUUCAGCUUGUAUACAUUAUACUUAAAUGUAAUUGGAUGUUAAAUAUAAUUUAGAAUAUAUUUGAAGACGCACAAGUAUCACUAUCCUUCCUACUUUUUUCGUAGUCUGCAACUUCUGUUGUCCUCCAAGUUUGUUGAUCAACAACUUCUAGUUAACGAUUCGAUACAACCUACAAACUUCUUCUACAUCAAGUGAUAUUGUGCAACUGCUAAUUCUUUUUUUUACUCACACUCAUUGGUUUCUUAUAACUAAUCAAGUGUUUCCAAGGUGGUGCAAAGAGGGAAUAAAUCUGUCCUUCUAAGCCCUAAAUAGAUCAACAGCAAUUACGUAGAAUUGCUCCAAUUCUUGUAUAGAAAGUGAGUUGUCAAUAAUAUAUUUAAUGUGAAUUGUUUAUUAUUCUUUUGGAAUUAAUUUUUGUUGAUUUUUUUGGGGGGUAAAUUGAAAACCACAAAUUAGAGUGUUAAAUCAAGUACAUUAUACAUGGCUUGUAUAGAUAAUUAGCUAAAAUUACAAUAGAAAAAAUAUCCAGGAAAUUACAAUUUUUUACUAUCCAUGAAAAUUGGAACCAACUAUAAUAAAUGAAUUCACAGUAACUUUUUUAGGAAUUUUAUUUUUGCACAUUCUAACGAAACCAGAUUUAACAUAGUAUUAAUUUUCAACUUUGGACAAAAGAAGGAAAUCAUUGAAGUAAUACCUAAAAUGCAUCGCCAUAAAUUCUCAUCACCUACAAUUUUUCCAAAAAAUAUUGUGGGGUCAUUUCUAGUUGGAUUUUAAUCAACUUGAUACUAAUAGAAGCAGAAUUGUCAUGAGUCUAUUUGUUUGUUUGGUUAUAUUCUGGUUGUGAAGCGUUCAAUAAUUUAUUUAUUAACAUUAUAUUAACAUAUUUUAUCUUUUGUAUUAAGCAUCAACUCAGUAUAAUUUAUUUAGUUCUUUGAGCUGAUCUGCUUGUUGUAUAAAAAUUAGACAUCAAGUAAAAAUGUAUAAACCACCUUAGAAAUAUGAAGAGGGCUUGUGAUCAGAACAUAGGAAGACAGCCAUUUUCAGAGAGGACUUUCCCAUUGUUUAAAAAUAUUGUAUGCCUGACUAGUCACAGUGUUAACAAGAGAUAUGUACAAAUGCAACGAAUAUAUUCAUUUAUGCAAAUAAUGUUAAUAACUGUUUUUAUAUGGCUUUGUAAGAAUCGUAAGAAGCUUUUUUGCUGUACAAUGUACUAAGCUUUUUUCCUGUACAAUGUAUUAAGCUUUUUUCCUGUACAAUGUAUUAAGCCUUUUUCCUGUACGAUGUAUUAAUUUUUUUUUGCUGAACAAUGUAUUAAGCUUUUUUUCUGUACAAUGUAUUAAGCUUUCAGAUAUUUUUUUUGUUUUUUUGCCUUGUUCAAAAAUACCAUUAAAAUUUAUUAUCUGAUUAAUGGUCAACUCAAUUAAAAGUUCUCUUGGCCAAUUAUUCUCACUGUAAGAUGACUAAGCUUUUAUUGUUUGUAAUUGGUUAACAAAUUUUCUUUUAGAGGCUUCUGGAUUUUAGACAUUAGUCAUACCUUUCUUACUUAUCUGAACGACAAUGGGACAUGAUUCAAAUUGAAUUUCCUCCUGUUUACCAGAGAAAAAUCUAAAUUGAAAAGAUCUCAAAUGAUCCAUCGCCCAAUACAAAUGCAUUAUAAGUAUGUCUGAUAGGUCCGAUACUUUGGUAAUGUAUGAUUAAUGGCGAAAGUCUGGACAUCUCUUUAUGAGGGAAAUUAACCUCAAUAAACAUCUUUCAAUCAAUAACACAUAAUAGACACUUUUUCAAUGCUACCAUAUGAACUAAAAGCAAAAAGUACAAUUACACAUGCUAGUCUGUAUUCUGAUGAAGAAAUUUCAAUGGUAUUUUCAUUUGCAGUGUAAAACCAAUAUGCGUCUUUGUUUUUUGUUAUAAUUUAAGUGUUUUUGUUGAAGUGUUUGAUUGUGUUGUUGACAAUCUUGUAUCUGUUGCAGAAGAUAAUGUGGAAUCAUUUAGUUUCUUGCAUUUUCAUGGAUAUUUGAUUUUGUGAUUUUCCAAAAGUCUCCAUAUAAUCAUACUGCAACUUUGUAAUUCAUUGCACAUUUAAAUUCAUGGUUUCCCUGCCCCACGAAACCCACGGAAAUUGGUUUCCAAUGAAUAAUAAUGAAUCCACAGUAAUGUAAUUAUAUAUAAUCAAAACUAACGGACUUUAUAUACUGUGGAUUCAUUUAUUUUCUUUUUCGUGGAUACCAAUUUUAUUGGAUUAAGGAAAAAUUGUAUUUUCAUGGUUUUAACAAAGUCUGCAUACUAGCCUAUAGAAUUUUAUACUUCAUGUAUACCCACAAAAAUUGGUACCCCCUCCAAUUUAUAAUGGCUCCAUGGUAUAACAUUUCCCUGUAAGAGUAAUAAUCGAAUAGAGGUUAUCUCCUAUUUGUUUAAAUUAUGUUCCAAUCAAUUCUUUUUCAAAAGUUUUCUGUACAAGUUUCUUUUAUUAUUCCUUGAAGUUUUGACAAAGUUAUUAAAGUCUAAAAAAAUAACCCUAAUGUUGAUGAGGACCAUGACAAAUGAAUUGAAAAAUUAAUAUGGAGACAGAUGUAGCUUGAAAUUAUUUAAUUAUCAAAGGUACUAAAUAAAUAAAACAGCAAAUGGGAAAAUAUUGGUGGAUUGUUGAUUUAACUAAUAUAUAUUUAUAUGUUUUCUACUUUUAUUGUUAUGCAAUGCAUGUAUUCCAUCAAAUUAGUAUGGUUGGAUAAUUUUCAAAAUAAAAUUAUUUUUUGUUAUCAAAAA